UGGACAGCGGCCGGGUGGCGGGCGGCGCGCUGGAGCUGUGCCACCUGGGGGCGCUGUACGACGCGGCGUUCUUCGCCC
rnacentral:tRNA from 1 species